UGAAAAAGAAGAGGAGGAUGGGCGUGGCAGAAGAAAGAAGCAAGUGACAUCAAAGUUCCUGGAUUUUGUUAUGGAUCCAGAUGAAGUAUCAAAUGGACAUGGCCCACAGAGUCCACGAAAGAAGGGUGGUGCAAACCGAGACAGUUUGUCUCGAUCUUCUUCUGAGAAUUCAAGAUCUAGAUCGCCUUUGGAACCACAGUCUGUGUCUGAAGAAUCCUGCUAAAGUACAAGCAGGUCAAAAAUGACGCCAGUUCGACCCCAAUCAGAAGCCCACCAAAUAACACUAAAACGCCAAAAAGCCUUGGGCAAUCCAACCAACACAAUAGCAAUUACCCAAUGCCAGAAGCUAGAUUCCAGAAGCGAGUAAUUUCAAUGCUCUCUGAAAUGAAGAGCAUGCUGCAGGAACAGGCCAGAGGACAGCCUAUCACACCAGGGCAGGAGGCACUUGAGUCGUGGACUGGUGGCCCUUGUGAAACGGUCAAGGAGUUUGGGGAGUUAGAAAACGUGCUCAAAUCUGUGGAAAAGCGACA